UACAGAGGAGCCAAGCGUUGUCCGGAUUGACUGGGCGUAAAGCGCACGCAGGCGCAUCGCGCGUGGGGUGUGAAAUCUGGCCGCUUAACGGCCAGGCGCCAUCCCAUACGGCGAGGCUGGAGCGAUGCAGAGGUCGGUGGAAUUGCCGGUGUAGUGGUGAAAUGCGUAGAUAUCGGAAGGAACAUCAGUGGCGAAAAGCGGCUUCCUGGACCAGUACCGACGUUCAGGCACGAAAGCGUGGGGGAGCAAACAGG
rnacentral:rRNA from 1 species